rnacentral:rRNA from 1 species
GGGGGAUGCAAAACUGCAAGUCGAGCGAGCUUGCCUAGAUGAUUUUAGUGCUUGCACUAAAUGAAACUAGAUACAAGCGAGCGGCGGACGGGUGAGUAACACGUGGGUAACCUGCCCAAGAGACUGGGAUAACACCUGGAAACAGAUGCUAAUACCGGAUAACAACACUAGACGCAUGUCUAGAGUUUGAAAGAUGGUUCUGCUAUCACUCUUGGAUGGACCUGCGGUGCAUUAGCUAGUUGGUAAGGUAACGGCUUACCAAGGCAAUGAUGCAUAGCCGAGUUGAGAGACUGAUCGGCCACAUUGGGACUGAGACACGGCCCAAACUCCUACGGGAGGCAGCAGUAGGGAAUCUUCCACAAUGGACGAAAGUCUGAUGGAGCAACGCCGCGUGAGUGAAGAAGGGUUUCGGCUCGUAAAGCUCUGUUGGUAGUGAAGAAAGAUAGAGGUAGUAACUGGCCUUUAUUUGACGGUAAUUACUUAGAAAGUCACGGCUAACUACGUGCCAGCAGCCGCGGUAAUACGUAGGUGGCAAGCGUUGUCCGGAUUUAUUGGGCGUAAAGCGAGUGCAGGCGGUUCAAUAAGUCUGAUGUGAAAGCCUUCGGCUCAACCGGAGAAUUGCAUCAGAAACUGUUGAACUUGAGUGCAGAAGAGGAGAGUGGAACUCCAUGUGUAGCGGUGGAAUGCGUAGAUAUAUGGAAGAACACCAGUGGCGAAGGCGGCUCUCUGGUCUGCAACUGACGCUGAGGC